rnacentral:rRNA from 1 species
GAAAGGGGUGCUAAUACCGGAUAAGCCCACACAACCUUCGGGGCGAGUGGGAAAAGAUUUAUCGUCAUAGGAUGGGUCCGCGGUCCAUUAGCUAGUUGGUGGGGUAACGGCCUACCAAGGCCACGAUGGAUAGCUGGUCUGAGAGGAUGAUCAGCCACACUGGAACUGAGACACGGUCCAGACUCCUACGGGAGGCAGCAGUGGGGAAUUUUGCGCAAUGGGGGAAACCCUGACGCAGCAACGCCGCGUGAAGGAUGAAGGCCUUUGGGUCGUAAACUUCUGUCAGAGGGGAAGAAAUACUCGCAAGAGUGCUGACGGUACCCUCAAAGGAAGCACCGGCUAACUCCGUGCCAGCAGCCGCGGUAAUACGGAGGGUGCAAGCGUUGUUCGGAAUUAUUGGGCGUAAAGAGCAUGUAGGCGGACUGUUAAGUCUGGUGUGAAAGCCCGGGGGCUCAACCCCGGAAGUGCAUUGGAUACUGGCAGUCUUGAGUAUGGGAG